AUGAAGAAGGAGGCGUCCUCGCUGUCCGAGCUCGGCUUCGACGCCGACACCGGCGCCGGCUUCUUCCGCCAGGUUCCAUCGUGCGGCCGCGACGGGGAACUGACCACGCUGCGGCGGACUGAGCGACUCACCAAGGUCUCCGUCAUCGGCGCCGGCAACGUGGGCAUGGCCAUCGCGCAGACCAUCCUCACGCAGGGCCUCACCGACGAGAUCGCGCUCGUGGACGCCGAGGCCGACAGGGUCCGCGGCGAGAUGCUGGACCUGCAGCACGCCGCGGCGUUCCUCCCGCGCGUCCGCAUCGCCGCAGGCACCGACGUCCUCGGGCUCCGAGCCUCCGACCUGGCCAUCAUCACGGUGCCGAGGGAGAGGCCGGCGGCCUCGCGGAUGGGCCAGCUGAGGAGGAACGUGGCGCUGCUGAGGGAGGUCGUGCCGGCCGUGGCGAAGGGGUCGCCGGAGUCGCUGCUGGUGGUGGUGUCGAACCCCGUGGACGUGCUGGCGUACGCGGCGUGGAAGCUGUCGGGGUUCCCGUCGAGCCGCGUGAUCGGCUCCGGCACGGACCUCGACCCCGCCAGGCUGCGGUGCCUCCUGGCCGAGCACCUUGGCGUGGGCGCGCAGGACGUGCAAGCGUACAUGGUCGGCGAGCACGGAGACGGCGCGCUGGCGCUGUGGUCGAGCGUCCGCGUCGGCGGCAUGCCGGUGCUGAGCUACCUCCAGAAGACUCACUCGUCGUUCGACGCGGAGGCCCUGGAGGGGAUCCGGCGGGCGGUGGUGGGCGGCGCGCGCGAGGUGAUCGGCCUCAAGGGGUACACGUCCUGGGCCAUCGGUUACUCGGUGGCCGGCCUCGCCAGGUCGCUCCUCCGCGACCAGCGGCGCGUGCACUCGGUGUCGGUGCUCGCCAAGGGUUUCGUCCCCAGCGACGUCCACGAGGUCUUCCUUAGCCUCCCGGCCAGGCUCGGGCGCCGCGGCGUGCUCGGGGUUGCCGCGGAGCUGGAGCUCACCGGCGACGAGGAAAUGACGCUCCGCCGGUCCGCGGAGACGCUCUGGGGCUACUGUCAGGAGCUCGAGCUAUAA
rnacentral:rRNA from 1 species